CCUACGGGGUGCUGCAGUGGGGAAUAUUGGACAAUGGGCGAAAGCCUGAUCCAGCCAUGCCGCGUGUGUGAAGAAGGCCUUCGGGUUGUAAAGCACUUUCAGUGGGGAAGAAAGCCUUGGGGCUAAUACCCUCGAGGAAGGACAUCACCCACAGAAGAAGCACCGGCUAACUCCGUGCCAGCAGCCGCGGUAAUACGGAGGGUGCGAGCGUUAAUCGGAAUUACUGGGCGUAAAGCGCGCGUAGGCGGUCUGAUAAGCCGGUUGUGAAAGCCCCGGGCUCAACCUGGGAACGGCAUCCGGAACUGUCAGGCUAGAGUGCAGGAGAGGAAGGUAGAAUUCCCGGUGUAGCGGUGAAAUGCGUAGAGAUCGGGAGGAAUACCAGUGGCGAAGGCGGCCUUCUGGACUGACACUGCCGCUGAGGUGCGAAAGCGUGGGUAGCAAACAGGAUUAGAUACCCGAGUAGUC
rnacentral:rRNA from 1 species